rnacentral:rRNA from 1 species
UACGGAGGGUGCAAGCGUUAUCCGGAUUCACUGGGUUUAAAGGGUGCGUAGGCGGGCAGGUAAGUCAGUGGUGAAAUCCCCGAGCUUAACUUGGGAACUGCCGUUGAUACUAUCUGUCUUGAAUAUUGUGGAGGUGAGCGGAAUAUGUCAUGUAGCGGUGAAAUGCUUAGAUAUGACAUAGAACACCAAUUGCGAAGGCAGCUCGCUACACAUAUAUUGACUCUGAGGCACGAAAGCGUGGGGAUCAAACAGG